ensembl:lncRNA
GUUCUGCGGACGUAGCGUUCAAGGAAAAGAGGAGAGGUUGACGCUAGCGCAGAUUGAAGAGCUCUGUUCCUAAAGAAAGGUGUCUGCUGGUUUGGACACACACACGUGUGCUUGUUUCUGUAGCUUGUUUGUUUGCAUGCGUCGCUGAAGCCCUCGCCUGAUGGAGAAGCGAGAACGGAAGCCGGGGUACUUUGCAAGGUUGAAGAAGCGGCGGCAGCUCAAGCAGAGCAUAUCAGAGAAGAACGCCCAUGAGCAGAACCCUGCGCACCCGCUGCCCAAGUCGCCGUUGAUUUCCUGUCCAGACGCACAGAACGGCGCCGAGCCGACGGACAGGGCCGAGAAAGCCGGCGAAC